GUGCUCCCUUGGGCAGUGCAUAUACUAAAAUUGGAGCGAUACAGAGAAAAUUAGCAUGGCCUCUGAGCAAGAAUGACACACAAAUUCAUGAAGCGUUCCAUAUAUCG
rnacentral:snRNA from 1 species